rnacentral:rRNA from 1 species
GUGGGGAAUCUUGGACAAUGGGCGCAAGCCUGAUCCAGCCAUGCCGCGUGAGUGAAGAAGGCCUUCGGGUUGUAAAGCUCUUUUACCAGGGACGAUAAUGACGGUACCUGGAGAAUAAGCCCCGGCAAACUUCGUGCCAGCAGCCGCGGUAAUACGAAGGGGGCUAGCGUUGUUCGGAAUUACUGGGCGUAAAGCGCACGUAGGCGGAUUGUUAAGUCAGAGGUGAAAUCCCGGAGCUCAACUUCGGAACUGCCUUUGAUACUGGCGAUCUUGAGUCCGGAAGAGGUGAGUGGAACUCCUAGUGUAGAGGUGGAAUUCGUAGAUAUUAGGAAGAACACCAGUGGCGAAGGCGGCUCACUGGUCCGGUACUGACGCUGAGGUGCGAAAGCGUGGGGAGCAAA